UUCUACUUUGACUAGUAAGUAGGGGGUUUAAAAUUGGUUAUUUUUUUAAUUUAAAUUCAUAGAAAAUCUCCCAUUAUCCCUUGUUUUUCUAUUUUCACAUUUGUUAACUCUGUCUAUCCAAUUCUUUGUCUUUUCUUUUCUUUUUUCAAUUUUGACCACUUCUUGAUCCUUUGGCCAAGCCAAUUUGUUAUCCUUUUAUUCUUUAUUUUUCUUUCUUCUGUUGUUACACUCAUGCGUCGUUUGUGGUAUUGAGUAAGGUAAAUUUCGUGAGUUGGUGAGGGCUCCGACGAACUGAGGUUGUUUCACGCUGCUGUUCAUUUGAAGGUCUGGGGAUAUUCAUUUUCUAGCGUGUGGCGGAUCUUUGCUAAAGGUGUGUAACGAGAAACUCAAAAAACGGUGAUCGGCGAAAGCAGAAAUCUGAUAGUCUGAUAGUGUGAAUCAUGAUGUAACGUCUAACAUGUAUAAUCUCUUAUGUACCAAGCAUGUUCUGUUUCUGUUAUACGAGUAUGUAAGUUAUGUAUAUCUGAAAAUCUGUUAUUCACUGUUUAUGUCUGAUUGUGGGGCGGGAUAUGUAUUAUGUGGAGGAAGUGUUAUCUGUGAGGCGAUAUCUCGCCAUUAUACUGGUAGCAUAGCUAUGAUUAUUUUGAAAAGUGUCGUAUGGACACUAAGCAGUUUUUAGGGCUGGGUAGGUGUUUUAUACCCUACAUGGUGUGUUGGGAUGGUCGGAGCUGGUGUGUAGAGA